UGAGAAGAGAAUACAAUACGUAUGUGC
rnacentral:piRNA from 1 species